rnacentral:rRNA from 1 species
GACGAACCACACAAACGUUAUUCGGAAUUACUGGGCUUAAAGGGUGCGUAGGCUGUGCAGAAAGUUAGGUGUGAAAUCCCCCGGCUCAACCGGGGAAUUGCGCUUAAAACUACUGUGCUAGAGGAAGACAGAGGUGAGCGGAACUUCGGGUGGAGCGGUGAAAUGCGUUGAUAUCCGAAGGAACACCGGUAGCGAAAGCGGCUCACUGGGUCUUUUCUGACGCUGAUGCACGAAAGCUAGGGGAGCAAACGGG